UCUAACAUAAGGUUUGGUCCUAGAUAUUUGAAGUGGGUGAUAUAACCCUGUUGAAUGAGACAAAAGAUGUUGGUGCCACAAAUCGUCGCCAACUUGCUGCUUUGUAUUGUGGUUCUAACUCAGGAUUUGAGCUUAUUCACGGCCUGGUCGACAGAAUCAUGGAAGUAAUUGGGACACCAUUUGUAAAACCUGGGGAUAAUGCAGGCUACUAUAUUGAACGUGCAGAUGAAUCUGAGUUUCUUCCUGGUAGACAAGCUAGAAUUAUUUUCAAAGGGAAGUGCAUAGGUGCUUUUGGUAUUGUGCAUCCAGAGGUGCUGAACAACUUUGGUAUUCCUGAUCCAUGCUCCUUUGUGGAACUUAACAUCGAGAGUUUCUUGUAGGGGUCAGUCUCAUUAUAUCAAAUGUACAUUGGACGAGUGGUACUUCCACAUAUGGGUUCUUUUUGAUUGGGUUUGCAGAGAAGUACAUCUGUCAGAAAGAAAUUUGUUGGCCCUCAUGUUAGCAAAUACUCACAAACCUAUAUUUCUAGGUUAUUAAGCCAAAAUCAAAGGCAAUAGUCAAAUUUUUGUACCCAGGACUUAAAUCUCAUUAGAAAGCUUAACAUUGAGGAUCUUUGAUGAACGUUUUCCAUUUUUUUUGUGUUAUUUCAUUGAGAGAGAUAUGAUCACUAAUUAAUAACAAUGAGUAUACCCAUCUGCAAAUGACAUUCAAAUGUUCUUCGAAGGGCAUUAAUCUGCUGCUUCAUAGAUUACUCUUGAAGAA